UGCAGUCGAGCGAGGCGUGGAGCAAUCCACAGUCGAGCGGCGAACGGGUGAGUAACGCGUGGAUGACCUGCCCUUUAGUGGGGAAUAACCCGGGGAAACUCGGGCUAAUACCGCAUGAGACCGAAAGGUGAAAGGGGGCUCGCAAGGGCUCUCGCUGAAGGAGGGGUCCGCGUCCGAUUAGCUAGUUGGUAGGGUAAAGGCCUACCAAGGCGACGAUCGGUAGCCGGCCUGAGAGGGUGAUCGGCCACACUGGAACUGAGACACGGUCCAGACUCCUACGGGAGGCAGCAGUGGGGAAUUUUGCGCAAUGGGCGGAAGCCUGACGCAGCAACGCCGCGUGGAGGAUGAAGGUCUUUGGAUUGUAAACUCCUGUCAGCAGGGAAAAGGCGACUUGGCCGCAUACGCCAGGGAGUUGAUUGUACCUGCAGAGGAAGCCCCGGCUAACUCUGUGCCAGCAGCCGCGGUAAUACAGAGGGGGCAAGCGUUAUUCGGAAUUAUUGGGCGUAAAGGGCGCGUAGGCGGCCUGGCAAGUGACGGGUGAAAGCCCUCGGCUUAACCGAGGAACUGCCUGUCAGACUGUUUGGCUUGAGACCGGGAGAGGUGAGUGGAAUUCCCAGUGUAGCGGUGAAAUGCGUAGAUAU
rnacentral:rRNA from 1 species